GACAUCAGCUCCCUUCUCUUCAACGCCUUCAACCCAACACUUAGGCACUGAUGGAGGGACUGGUGUAAGAGAAGAGGUUAAACUGUCUCAGGAAAACAACUUCAUAAAGUGUGUAGCUGAUAAAGCAGAUUUAAAAACAGAGGACACAGGACAGUGGAAUGAUGAAACUGGUCAAACAGAAACUAGUCUGGGAGGGGCGGCCUUCCUCACCCAUCACCACCAGAGUGACUUUUCGCAUGUCGACACCCGGCGCCUUCUUGACUUUGCACUGGUAGGUGGCUGUGUCUGAGGCUUUCACUGCAGAGAUGGAGACGGAUGCGUCUCCCAACGCGGGGUCUCCUGUGAAGUCCAUCCUCUUAGACAAGCUGGGGUCCCCGUAAUGCAAUUUCUGCCCUCCUGUAUAAGAUAUGACCUGAGAGAGAGAUUUGCUUCAAUGACAAAGCAACAAGUCUUGAGGUUUUUCUACUGCAACAAUGAGGAUAAGAUAGCCUGUAGCUAAACAACAUCUCCAAGACUAGUCUGCCAAAGAUAUGAGUGGAUGUUAAGACUAACAUAUUCGUUUUACGACCCAUGUUGCAUCUCCAAACCCUCCCCUUAAAUUAUCCAUAACAAGACCCGCCUCUGUCUCCUGCUCUGUAGUCUCACCAGCUGGUCUUUCUGGGUCAUGUCUGGAUGGACACUCAACCACUCAAUGUCCAGAUCUCCUGUGUCAGAGGGGGCAGGGGUGUAUGUGCACCCCAGCAUGACUGUCUCCCCCUGGGCUCUUUGAAUGGUCUGAGACCCUGUGGAUGUUAUCUGCAUAGCCACUGUGAUAUCUUAGGGUUUAGAGAAAAACACAUUCAGGAUUGAAACUUAGACUAGUUUCAGACUAAAGUGACAAGUUCCUGUAUUAACAGCAUUGUGUUCUAACAACAUCCUGUGACUAAUUCAGCAUACUGUACAGUGCCUUCAGUUACAGCCCGAAUUUAAAAUGGAUUACAACAUCUAAAUGUUUGUCAUUGGCCAACACAAUAAAUACCCCAUAAUGUCAAAGUGUAAUUGUGUUUUUCAGAUUAAUAAAAAAACUGAAAUGUC